AGCUGUAGUAGUGGCAGUAUUAUAGCCAAUGAGGUGAAUCCGAGGCGUGAUUAUUGCUAGUUAAAAACGUAUCCUUAUAAACAAAUAAUUUUGUUCAAUUAAGACUAUU
rnacentral:snRNA from 1 species